ensembl:lncRNA
CUUAAAGUUAUUUUUGCCCCCAAGACACCAGAGGGUGCUGUUCCCCCAGGCAACAUCCAGUUCUCCCUGGCUUCUGACUUCCUAAUUCCUUCCAGGCAAGGCUGCCCCAAGCUACAGGGGAGACCUUUUCCAUGUGUAUCCCACCUCCCAAUGUCACGGGCUCCCUGCACAUUGGCCAUGCGCUCACAGUGGCGAUACAGGAUGCUUUUGUGCGCUGGCACCGGAUGCGUGGGGAUCGUGUGCUGUGGAUCCCCGGGUCAGAUCACGCAGGAAUUGCUACACAGGCUGUGGUGGAGAAACAGCUGUGGAGGGAGCGGAGAGUGCGGAGACACGAGCUGAGCCGGGAGGACUUCCUCAGGGCUGUGUGGCAGUGGAAACAGGAGUAAGUUGUCAGGGCCAGUGUGACUGGCUGAGUCUUUGCUUGUCAGCGCUACUGACCGACAGCAUUCCAUUCUUCCUGCCUCAGAGCAGGGGCUCUGAUGGAUGGGGUGUCCGAGCCAAGAGUGUGUGUGUUAGAAUGUACACAUUUGUAUACUAUGCUCACGUUAAAAUAUAUACAUUUAUGUGUGUGCUAUGCUCACGUUAGAAUGCACACACAAACACACUCGUGUGUAUAUGAAUGGAUAUGUACAAAUGUGUGGGUUCUUUUUACCCUCCUUGUCUUGUUUUCUUGGACUUUGUUACCUCUCCUGUGCCCCUGGACCCUCCUACGUUUGUGGUCACGUACUUUUUUCUCUUGUGGCUGCUCCUGCAUCCCACACGCCGUGGCCCAUGAGCCUCAUACAUCCCAGCAUAGCUGUGAAUUGUAAACUUAGAACACUUUGAGGACUUUUUGGGUUUUCUUUUCUUUACCGCAUAAUUCUCAAAUGUGAACUUUUUCUACAUGGCAGUAACAUGUUUCUGUUAUGCAGUAUGUAUGUACGUGCACACAACCCAUGGGCUACAGCUUAGACACUACUGGCUGUAGCCCAAGAUAGUCAUCCAUUGUGUGUGUUUCAGAACCCUGCAGAGAC